GGCUUAGUGGUAUAGCUUGGUUAUUAUACCUAAGUAUAUGCUCUAGGGGAUUAUAGGUUCGAAUCCUACCUGUGCCU